AAACCGAACUAGUUCACAGAUAUAACUGUCAUCUCCCUCACCCUCGCCUCGAUCACCCGCUCCCAAACCUUCAUGGUGUGACUUAUUAUUUGAUACCCCUAUAGUUGUUGUAGCACUGGAUAUCCCCUUUGUUCUUGUACAAGGGCACCACUGUACUCCACCUCCACUCUUCCGGCAUCCUUUUGGUCCUGAAGAUCGCAUUGAACAACC
rnacentral:lncRNA from 1 species